rnacentral:rRNA from 1 species
CUACGGAGGGUGCAAGCGUUACUCGGAAUCACUGGGCGUAAAGCGCGCGCAGGCGGGCUGAUAAGUUGGAUGUGAAAGCCUACGGCUCAACCGUAGAACUGCAUCCAAAACUGUCAGUCUAGAGUGUGGGAGAGGAAGAUGGAAUUAGUUGUGUAGGGGUAAAAUCCGUAGAGAUAACUAGGAAUACCAAAAGCGAAGGCAAUCUUCUGGAACACUACUGACGCUGAGGCGCGAAGGCGUGGGGAGCAAACAGGAUUAGAAACCCCGGUAGUCC